GCGCUCGCUUCAGCAGCACGUAUACUAAAAUUGGAACGAUACAGAGAAGAUUAGCAUGGUCCCUGCACAAGGAUGACACGCAAAUUCCUGAAGCGUCCCAUAACUUU
rnacentral:snRNA from 1 species